CAUGUACUCCCUCCGUUCCAAAUUACUCGUCUCAGAAAUGGAUGUAUCUAGAACUAAAAUACAUCUAGAUACAUCCAUUUCUGCGACGAGUAAUUCGGAACGGAGGGAGUAUUUG
rnacentral:pre_miRNA from 1 species